GUAUCCAAUUUCCUUCGAACCGAACUAGCUUUUCAUCACCCACAGACUCCCCAGCUUCAGCCGUUCAUCCCUAUCCCAUGCACUCAAUCCUUUCCGCAAAACAAGCAUUCAACAUCUUCAUCUCCCAUGGAUAAGAAUCCAAGAUCAUCCCCUGUUCCAUGUCCUUCCCUCCCAUGUCCAAAGAACAAGAACAGAUUCCUUCUUCCGGAUUUCUCCGUGUUCAUCCUCGUCCUUCCCUUCCGCAUCCAAAGCUUCCACGUCAUCCUUUCCUCCCCUGUUUUAGAUUCAAAAUAGAGCUAAUCUCCCGUGGAUCAACAUCUUCUAA
rnacentral:lncRNA from 1 species